rnacentral:rRNA from 1 species
AGCGAACGCUGGCGGCAGGCCUAACACAUGCAAGUCGAACGAACCUUUCGGGGUUAGUGGCGGACGGGUGAGUAACACGUGGGAACGUGCCUUUAGGUUCGGAAUAACUCAGGGAAACUUGUGCUAAUACCGAAUGUGCCCUUCGGGGGAAAGAUUUAUCGCCUUUAGAGCGGCCCGCGUCUGAUUAGCUAGUUGGUUGAGGUAAUGGCUCACCAAGGCGACGAUCAGUAGCUGGUCUGAGAGAAUGGUCAGCCACAUUGGGACUGAGACACGGCCCAAACUCCUACGGGAGGCAGCAGUGGGGAAUCUUGCGCAAUGGGCGAAAGCCUGACGCAGCCAUGCCGCGUGAAUGAUGAAGGUCUUAGGAUUGUAAAAUUCUUUCACCGGGGACGAUAAUGACGGUACCCGGAGAAGAAGCCCCGGCUAACUUCGUG